GCUGUGCGUCAACCCCAAAGCGUCAAAAACUGAAGCUUGGUCAAGCGCCUCUAGCGUCACUGACAUGAGAUGUUUAUCGCUUUGAAAUCACGUUCAAGAAGUCUCAUUCAGCACACAUCGCGAUACUUUCCAUCAGUUUGCAAGAGCCGCAGGUUGGGUGAGUUAUACAGUCUAUGGUGAGUAGUAGUAAAUAUGCUCUUUUAAUGCCUGUCCUAAAACGUAUUCUGUCUUCUUUAUUAAUCAGAUGGGCGCCUUAUGUUUACUCUCUGUAUUACAUCGGUCAUCCGAGGCUGUCUUUGAGUUUCAUUGUGUUUAACUAAAUGAACACAGCUGCUAACUGGUUAAACUCUAUCGGUCACGUGACGUGACGUGACGUGCCACAGACCUGGGAUCCGUUUUAUAUUAAUUUCAGGUUCAAAGAUCUGAAAAGACGUAAAGUAAGCAGUCACCCCAGUGGUGUUUGUGGAGAGGUAUUCCUUCAGAAAUGGAGAAGACAGAAAGCUGCAGAGGCAGGAUUGUUUGCAGAUAAUGCUGUUCUUCUUUUUCAGAAGUUUUUGGGGAGCCAACCCUCACAAAC